CGCAGAGGGACUCGAUCCAAGAACCCUGGGAUCAUGACCUGAACUGAAGGCAGUUGCCCAACCAACGGAGCCACUGAGGGGUCCCUGAUUGAGAUGAGUAAAACUGAGGCACCAAGGGAUUAAGUGAUUUGUCUAGAGCCACACAAUGACAGAGCUGUGAUCAGAACUGAGCACUCUGGAUCCCAAGGCUUUUAUCUAUCAUGUGAAGGUGGUCCAUUCUAUUUCUGGGAUAUUCUAAUUCAGGUAUCUUCAGCCUUCAACCUUGCAUCAGAGGCACAUCAGAAAUCAAGGUUCUGAGCUGGCUUAGGACAAAGAAAUGGAGACCAACCUAGCUCGGGCAAUGCCAGGAGUGUCUCUGCAGAGAUGUCUUUAUCAAGGACCCCGAAGACCAGAGGAGGCAAGGAUGUGAAGAAGAGGUUGAAGAAUAUCAUCUGCCAGUAAUCGAUCAUGGUGGAGCCGGAGAAACCGCAGAAAAACUGGUACCAGAAGAGCAGGUUGACGUAGCACUGCAGGCGGAGAGUGUGGCCUUGUGAGUGCGGACCCAGGGGCCGUGGUCACCAACGGCUGCCUAGGAGCCUCUGGCAAGUCACCACGCUGACUCGGAGCUUCUGUUUUCUCAUUUGUGACACGCAGAGUUGUGUAAGGGUCAGCGGUAACUAAUCCUUAGAGUAGCAGCUGCCACGACAACAACUAUGACUGUGAGUUAGGACCUGAAGGGAACUACACCGACUCGUUAAGGAGACCUGUGGGAUGUUUCUUGGCUCUGAAAGAGAUCCUGGUGCCCUGAGAUAUCCUGGACCUUGAAUCUUUCUGUCAGAAGGAGUGAGAAGGCUCAAUCUGUUUGUUGUGCUGCCGGCCCUGUUAGGACCUUGCUUGCUUCCGCUUCCAUCUGCUGGAAUCUCUGCCCUAUGGAGGGGGCGCCCAGAACCUGGCGACGGCAUCACUGAGAGGGGGCCUGCGUUUUCCUCCCAAGAAGCUACAGUGCAGUAAUUAAUUCAUUGUUCAAAUUUCAGAGCAGGCAGCAUUUUAAUCCCCUCUGAAAUUGGUUUCGGAUGUGGAAGUCAUAGUUCUCCACCCUCUAAUUGCAAUGGGGAGAUAAUGCGGCAUCAGUAUCACAAUUUCGAGCAUGGCAUCAGGCUGGAAAUAAAUACCAUUUAAGCUUUGAAAGCA